rnacentral:tRNA from 1 species
GCGGAUGUGGUGGAAUUGGCAGACGCGCUAGCUUCAGGUGCUAGUGGGAGCAAUCUCGUGCGGGUUCAAGUCCCGCCAUCCGCACCA